AUACUUACCUGGCAGGGGAGAUACCAUGAUCACGAAGGUGGUUUUCCCAGGGCGAGGCUUAUCCAUUGCACUCCAGAUGUGCUAUUUAAAAAAAAAAAAAAAAAACACGUUCAAAACGGGUCAGAGACCUCAGUAUAAAAUCUGAAACUAUAAAAAAC